AGCAGUCGCCACGGUAAUACGUAGGGCGCAAGCGUUGUCCGGAAUUAUUGGGCGUAAAGAGCUCGUAGGCGGUCUGUCGCGUCUGGUGUGAAAUCCCGAGGCUCAACCUCGGGCUUGCAUCGGGUACGGGCAGACUAGAGUGCGGUAGGGGAGACUGGAAUUCCUGGUGUAGCGGUGGAAUGCGCAGAUAUCAGGAGGAACACCGAUGGCGAAGGCAGGUCUCUGGGCCGCAACUGACGCUGAGGAGCGAAAGCAUGGGGAGCGAACAGGAUUAGAUACCCGCGUAGUCCCUGUCUCUUAUAA
rnacentral:rRNA from 1 species